rnacentral:rRNA from 1 species
UACGUAGGGGGCAAGCGUUGUUCGGAUUUACUGGGCGUAAAGGGCGCGUAGGCGGCCACCGCAAGUCAGUUGUGAAAUCUCUGGGCUUAACCCAGAAAGGUCAACUGAUACUGCGGGGCUAGAGUGCAGAAGGGGCAACUGGAAUUCUCGGUGUAGCGGUGAAAUGCGUAGAUAUCGAGAGGAACACCUGCGGCGAAGGCGGGUUGCUGGGCUGACACUGACGCUGAAGAGCGAAAGCGUGGGUAGCGAACAGG